rnacentral:rRNA from 1 species
AUUGAACGCUGGCGGCAGGCCUAACACAUGCAAGUCGAACGGUAACAGGAAGCAGCUUGCUGCUUCGCUGACGAGUGGCGGACGGGUGAGUAAUGUCUGGGAAACUGCCUGAUGGAGGGGGAUAACUACUGGAAACGGUAGCUAAUACCGCAUAACGUCGCAAGACCAAAGAGGGGGACCUUAGGACCUCUUGCCAUCGGAUGUGCCCAGAUGGGAUUAGCUAGUAGGUGGGGUAACGGCUCACCUAGGGGACGAUCCCUAGCUGGUCUGAGAGGAUGACCAGCCACACUGGAACUGAGACACGGUCCAGACUCCUACGGGAGGCAGCAGUGGGGAAUAUUGCACAAUGGGCGCAAGCCUGAUGCAGCCAUGCCGCGUGUAUGAAGAAGGCCUUCGGGUUGUAAAGUACUUUCAGCGGGGAGGAAGGGAGUAAAGUUAAUACCUUUGCUCAUUGACGUUACCCGCAGAAGAAGCACCGGCUAACUCCGUG